rnacentral:lncRNA from 1 species
GACAAAAAUUGAAAAGAGAGAGAGAGAGAGAGAGAAAGAGAGAGAGAGAGAGAGAGAGAGACAGAGACAGAGAGAGAGAGAGAGAGAGAGAGAGAGAGAGAGAGAGAGAGACAGACAGACAGACAGAGAGACAGAGAGAGAGAGAGAGAGAGAGAGAGAGAGAGAGAGAGAGAGAGAGAGAGAGAGAGAGAGAUCACACUGUGAUGGCCCCUGUUUUCUUAGUAAAGAAUGAAGGAAGGUCAAACCUGGAAAGGACUUGCACCUAGAUACGCUCUGAUUCUAUUAGACUACAACUGCCCCUUCAUUAAAAAAAAUAAUAGCUAGCCUUUAUAUAGUGCUUUAAGGUUUGCAAAACAUUGUACACAUGUUAAGUCAUUUGAUUCUCAUCACAACCCUGGGAAACAGGUGCCCCAUUUUAAAGAUGAAGCAGCUGAGGCACAGAAAGGAUAAAUGACACAAAUAGUCAAUGAGGUAGGAUUCAAAUUUACCUCUUCCUGAUUCUAAGUCCUGUGCUCUAUCCAUUGUAUCACCUGUAGAUCAAAUGACCCUCAUGACAAGACAUUAAAAGACAGUUACCCGUUUUUUUUUGUAGGAAUGGGGCGAGCAUUAUAAUAAUUUCAGACUUUUUAUAUAUGUUGGUAAUUUUGCCAAACCUCUAAAAAAUCUUUGUUAUUCUUUAUUCUAUGGGGUAGCUCUAGGGAGAUGACAAAGGAGGGAUACGUUGGGAAAUGUAGAUGAUAUAAAAACAAAAGAUAUCAAUAUAAACAUUUUUUAAAGUAUAGAAAUCAAUGAAUACUAGGACAGGAGAAGGGGAUCCCCAAAAUUCUACAAUUUUAAAUCUCGAUAUAUCUUAGAUGGCAUUUAGUCCAAUCCUCUUAUUUGAUAUUUAUUUACUUAAGACGCUCCAAAUUAUAGAAUGGAGAGAGGGUCAGAGCUGUAAGUAGUCUUCCUGAUUUUCUAGUCCAUUUCCUUCAUUUUACAGAGUAGGAUGCUGAGGCCCAGAGAGAGACAGCCACAUAGUUGGAGUUCCAGUCCUAUCUUUGAUAUUGACUCACUGUAUGACCUUGCCUGAAUUGCUUUCCUUCUCGACAUCCAUUUCCCCAUUUUACAAACGAGAGAUUUGAAAUUGAGGAUGCUCCUCACCUCUACCCCAGCUUGCAAUCUUAUGCCAGAAAAGGGUUUUAGAUGUGAUCAUUUAAACUUAUUUGAAUAGCUGAGUAUAGUACCUCUUACAAGUGAAAAGAUUUGGCUAGUAAAAAAGGUCUU